AGAACGAACGCUGGCGGCAUGCCUAACACAUGCAAGUCGAACGAGACCUUCGGGUCUAGUGGCGCACGGGUGCGUAACGCGUGGGAAUCUGCCCUUGGGUUCGGAAUAACAGUUAGAAAUGACUGCUAAUACCGAAUAAUGACGUAAGUCCAAAGAUUUAUCGCCCAAGGAUGAGCCCGCGUAGGAUUAGCUUGUUGGUGAGGUAAAGGCUCACCAAGGCGACGAUCCUUAGCUGGUCUGAGAGGAUGAUCAGCCACACUGGGACUGAGACACGGCCCAGACUCCUACGGGAGGCAGCAGUGGGGAAUAUUGGACAAUGGGGGAAACCCUGAUCCAGCAAUGCCGCGUGAGUGAUGAAGGCCUUAGGGUUGUAAAGCUCUUUUGCCAGGGAUGAUAAUGACAGUACCUGGAGAAUAAGCUCCGGCUAACUCCGUGCCAGCAGCCGAC
rnacentral:rRNA from 1 species